GGUCAUACAGAGAUAGAGAUCCCACUAGAAUGGGAUCCCACUCCAAACCUGAUAUAGGAGAAAAGUGAGCCACAUGGGAAAAUAGUCUCUAUAUGCUCCAAGUAAACAUUUAGAGUUGACAAGGCAGAAGAUGAGCAUGAUCCCACUUUGGGGGGAAAAUAAGCUAAAGACUGGCCAAAGGUGUUGGAAGGAAAACCAAGGCAGCCUCUGAGGUCACAGGGAAGGAAGCAGAGUGUCCCCAGUGAACAGCUGAUAUCCACAGGGUGAGGAGAGGUGGCUAAACAGCGUGACAUUCAAGAGGAAGGACGGCGUGACAGCCAGAAGCACACUAUGAACAAGGAUGGUACCAACUCAGCCAGGUGCAGCAGGAUAAUGAAGGACAGGGAUCUCCACCUAAGAUUUCAGUGUGUGAGGGAGAAAUUUGUCUUCUCAUCAUGGAAAAAAAAGAGGGGAGAAGAAUUCCAGGACCAAAUUUCUAAUGUAAAAAAACACACAAAACAACAAAAACCCUAGUUCUCAAGGAAGUGGUGCUUCCUGAAGACACUGGACAGGAGGCAAGACCUGGCUCCAGAUGAAAACAGACCACCAAAUUGACACACCUACCUCUCUGUCCUUGGAAUAAUGAAGUUUGUAUUUGAGACCAACAUGGUAAAUUUAUCAUCUCUACCAAAAAAAAAGGCAUUUCUUUAUCUCCUUCUGAAGGUCACACUUUCCCAAGGACUAAUUAGUCCUAACAACUAAUUAGCCCCCAGAUCUGAGCAUCUUUUUACUCCUCUCUCGAUUUUCGAUGCUUGCUGUAGAUAUGAACAUAUCAUCUCCAGCGGUCUCUGCAGUAGUGCUUCGAGUCAAUUUAUGGAGCUAAUGAUGAAGGUUUAUUCCCAUGUUAAAAACUGCCUUAAAAUGGAAAAUAUAAGUACAAACUGA